rnacentral:rRNA from 1 species
UGGGAGCUUGCUCCCUGUAAGUCAGCGGCGGNACGGGUGUAGUAACACGUGGGCAACCUGCCUGUAAGACUGGGAUAACUCCGGGCAAACCNAGGCUAAUACCGGAUAAUUCUUUCCCUCACAUGAGGGAAAGCUGAAAGAUGGUUUCGGCUAUCACUUACAGAUGGGCCCGCGGCGCAUUAGCUAGUUGGUGAGGUAACGGCUCACCAAGGCAACGAUGCGUAGCCUAACCUGAGAGGGUGAUCGGCCACACUGGGACUGAGACACGGCCCAGACUCCUACGGGAGGCAGCAGUAGGGAAUCUUCCGCAAUGGACGAAAGUCUGACGGAGCAACGCCGCGUGAGUGAUGAAGGUUUUCGGAUCGUAAAACUCUGUUGUUAGGGAAGAACAAGUACCGGAGUAACUGCCGGUACCUUGACGGUACCUAACCAGAAAGCCACGGCUAACUACGUGCCAGCAGCCGCGGUAAUACGUAGGUGGCAAGCGUUGUCCGGAAUUAUUGGGCGUAAAGCGCGCGCAGGCGGUUCCUUAAGUCUGAUGUGAAAGCCCCCGGCUCAACCGGGGAGGGUCAUUGGAAAC